rnacentral:lncRNA from 1 species
CGCCUUUGGAUCCUCGGAUCUGCCAGCUCAAUUAAUGAGCUCAGAUCCAAGGGCUCUCGUUUUUUGCAUUUUUCUAAUUUCUGUUUUUAUUUUGUUUAUUUCCUUUUAUUUCAAAAAUUCAUAUCUCCUUCAUUAUUGGUCCAAAAAUUAUGGGACCAAUUGCAUUAUUUCUCUUUUAAUUUCUAGUUUUUAAAAAUGAUUUUUAAUAUUUUUAUUUUAAUAUUUGCUAUUUUUUAGUAAUUUUCUCUUUUCUGGAUAUUU